GGCGACAUGGCCGAGUGGCUAGGCAAGGGUCUGCAAAACCCUGUACCCGGGUUCGAAUCCCGGUGUCGCCUCCA
rnacentral:tRNA from 2 species